CUACGGGCGGCAGCAGUGAGGAAUAUUGCACAAUGGGGGGAACCCUGAUACAGCAACGCCGCGUGGAGGAUGACGCAUUUCGGUGUGUAAACUCCUUUUAUAUGUCAAGAAAAUGACGGUAGCAUAUGAAUAAGCACCGGCUAACUCCGUGCCAGCAGCCGCGGUAAUACGGAGGGUGCAAGCGUUACUCGGAAUCACUGGGCGUAAAGGACGCGUAGGCGGGUUGGAAAGUCAGGUGCGAAAUCCUACAGCUUAACUGUAGAACUGCACUUGAAACUUCUAAUCUAGAGUAUGGGAGGGGGAGAUGGAAUUAGUGGUGUAGGGGUAAAAUCCGUAGAUAUCACUAGGAAUACCUAAAGCGAAGGCGAUCUCCUGGAACAUUACUGACGCUAAGGCGUGAAAGCGUGGGGAGCAAACAGGAUUAGAUACCCGAGUAGUC
rnacentral:rRNA from 1 species